UGCAGAUCCUGGACCAGGUUGAGCUGCGCGCAGGCUACCCUCCAGCCAUACCCCACAACCUCUCCUGCCUCAUGAACCUCACAACCAGCAGCCUCAUCUGCCAGUGGGAGCCAGGACCUGAGACCCACCUACCCACCAGCUUCACUCUGAAGAGCUUCAAGAGCCGGGGCAACUGUCAGACCCAAGGGGACUCCAUCCUGGACUGCGUGCCCAAGGACGGGCAGAGCCACUGCUCCAUCCCACGCAGACACCUGCUGUUGUACCAGAAUAUGGGCAUCUGGGUGCAGGCGGAGAACGCGCUGGGGACCAGCAUGUCCCCACAACUGUGCCUUGAUCCCAUGGACGUUGUGAAACUGGAGCCCCCCAUGCUGCGGACCAUGGACCCCAGCCCUGAAGCAGCCCCUCCCCAGGCAGGCUGCCUACAGCUGUGCUGGGAGCCAUGGCAGCCAGGCCUGCACAUAAAUCAGAAGUGUGAGCUGCGCCACAAGCCGCAGCGUGCAGAAGCCAACUGGGCACUGGUGGGCCCCCUCCCCUUGGAGGCCCUUCAGUAUGAGCUCUGCGGGCUCCUCCCAGCCACGGCCUACACCCUGCAGAUACGCUGCAUCCGCUGGCCCCUGCCUGGCCACUGGAGCGACUGGAGCCCCAGCCUGGAGCUGAGAACUACCGAAUGGGCCCCCACUGUCAGACUGGACACAUGGUGGCGGCAGAGGCAGCUGGACCCCAGGACAGUGCAGCUGUUCUGGAAGCCAGUGCCCCUGGAGGAAGACAGCGGACGGAUCCAAGGUUAUGUGGUUUCUUGGAGACCCUCAGGCCAGGCUGGGGCCAUCCUGCCCCUCUGCAACACCACAGAGCUCAGCUGCACCUUCCACCUGCCUUCAGAAGCCCAGGAGGUGGCCCUUGUGGCCUAUAACUCAGCCGGGACCUCUCGUCCCACCCCGGUGGUCUUCUCAGAAAGCAGAGGCCCAGCCCUGACAAGACUCCAUGCCAUGGCCCGAGACCCUCACAGCCUCUGGGUAGGCUGGGAGCCCCCCAGUCCAUGGCCUCAGGGCUAUGUGAUUGAGUGGGGCCUGGGCCCCCCCAGCGCGAGCAAUAGCAACAAGACCUGGAGGAUGGAACAGAAUGGGAGAGCCACGGGGUUUCUGCUGAAGGAGAACAUCAGGCCCUUUCAGCUCUAUGAGAUCACCGUGACUCCCUUGUACCAGGACACCAUGGGACCCUCCCAGCAUGUCUAUGCCUACUCCCAAGAAAUGGGUUUGUCAACUAUCAGGCCCCUUUCCAGAAUCCUCUCCUCUCUCUCCCAAGGCUCUGCCUGGUCCUGAGCAAUCAGAAGUAUAGGGAACAUUGCCUUCCUACCAUACUUCCAGUCCUGGAGAGGAUCUCUCCCAAUCCCCUGGCUUACACUGGAUCCCUACAGCUGGACAGAAAUCAGGUGCUGGGAUAGAAAUUGAGUAGGGAGUUGGCACAAUUCAAGGAGCAAACCUGGCAAAAAUCAAACCAUUUCCCAGACAAAAAUAAGGUGUUAUAUGUAACAGAAAUUGGACAGAGGGGCCGGGUGCAGUGGCUCACACCUGUAAUCCUAACACUCUGGGAGGCCAGGGCAGGCAGAUCCCCUGAGUUCAAGAGUUUGAGACCAGCCUAGGCAACCUUGUCUCUACAGAA
rnacentral:sRNA from 1 species